AAGAAAGUGGUAGAUCACUUACUUGCUUAGGCGGUUUAAUGUUUAAAGAUACAUAUUUACUUUGCUUUAUUUAAUACGCUAAAGCCCUUUAAUGCCUAAACCAAACAGUUCUGAUAUUAGUGAUUGGUUUAAUGGUUUUAAUACAGUAGAAAUAUGUUGAUAUCAAAAUGAGAUAGAAGAAGAUAAGAAGCUUUAUGGUAAAAAAAGACAAGCAGCUUUUUGAAAUUUAUGAGAAAAAUAGGGUUAGGGUUGGUGGUUAGCACUGUUUUAUUACUUUUGAGACUGAAUUUAUAUAAGAUAGACACACUAAAGAAAAAAGGGAUAUAUAAAUAGCUUGUCAGGUAGGUUCUUCAUUAUUGUGCUUAAUGAGAAACACUAGGACAGCACUAUGUUUUGUGUCUACUAAAAAGAGUAAUUUCCUGAAAACAACCUAUGCCUAUUAUAAAGGAGACAAAGUUAAGUCUCGGGGUACAUAUUACGCAACUUGUAUUCGUGCAACCAUCAGGUACAAAGUGCUUGUCUAAACCCAGUGUUUGCACCUUCAACCGAAACGAGUAGGUAUGGUGGAUAUUGAAUUGCACGAACCGCGGACGCGCUGAUAACAAUUAAGCGACCGCGAGGAAAUCGAGCCUUGCUUUUAAAAUUCCACAGAUUCUCAAAUGCAAAGAAUUAAGUAUGAACAUGUGCCAAAAUUGCGUGGGGCAGGCGUUGAGUGGCGACAGGCGAGACUGUCACAUUACAACUCUAUUUAUGGCGCCAGACUUCCAGGCGCAGAUCGACUCUCGAAUUUGCUGAACGUCUCUUGAUCUUCGGCUUGCCCUUUGUUGCUUGUCGCUCGAAACCACACAGCUUUGGUAAGUAUGAUUAACCGAUGGUUUCAUGUAAUCAUAAACCAAGGCGAAUUGAUACCGUGCUGGUCAAAGUAAUAAACUUCGGUUUAUUUGUUAAAGCAA